UGCCAGCAGCCGCGGUAAUACGAAGGGUGCAAGCGUUGUUCGGAUUUAUUGGGCGUAAAGCGCGCGCAGGCGGAUCUGUAAGUCAGGUGUGAAAUCUCAGGGCCCAACCCUGAAACUGCGCCUGAAACUGCAAAUCUAGAAUCUUGGAGGGGGCAGGGGAAUUUCGCAUGUAGGGGUAAAAUCCGUAGAGAUGCGAAGGAACACUUGAGGCGAAGGCGCCUGCCUGGACAAGUAUUGACGCUGAGGCGCGAAAGCGUGGGGAGCAAACAGGAUUAGAUA
rnacentral:rRNA from 1 species